rnacentral:rRNA from 1 species
GACGAACGCUGGCGGCGUGCUUAACACAUGCAAGUCGAACGCUGAAGCCCAGCUUGCUGGGUGGAUGAGUGGCGAACGGGUGAGUAACACGUGAGUAACCUGCCCCCUUCUUUGGGAUAACGCCCGGAAACGGGUGCUAAUACUGGAUAUUCACUGGCCUUCGCAUGGGGGUUGGUGGAAAGGUUUUUUCUGGUGGGGGAUGGGCUCGCGGCCUAUCAGCUUGUUGGUGGGGUGAUGGCCUACCAAGGCUUUGACGGGUAGCCGGCCUGAGAGGGUGACCGGUCACAUUGGGACUGAGAUACGGCCCAGACUCCUACGGGAGGCAGCAGUGGGGAAUAUUGCACAAUGGGCGAAAGCCUGAUGCAGCGACGCCGCGUGAGGGAUGACGGCCUUCGGGUUGUAAACCUCUUUCGCUCAUGGUCAAGCCGCAGCUUUGGGUUGUGGUGAGGGUAGUGGGUAAAGAAGCGCCGGCUAACUACGUGCCAGCAGCCGCGGUAAUACGUAGGGCGCGAGCGUUGUCCGGAAUUAUUGGGCGUAAAGGGCUUGUAGGCGGUUGGUCGCGUCUGCCGUGAAAUCCUCUGGCUUAACUGGGGGCGUGCGGUGGGUACGGGCUGACUUGGGUGCGGUAGGGGAGACUGGAACUCCUGGUGUAUCGGUGGAAUGCGCAAUAUCAGGAAGAACACCGGUGGCGAAGGCGGGUCUCUGGGCCGUUACUGACGCUUAGGAGCGAAAGCCUGGGGAGCGAACAG